GUUGUCAUCUACCGACGGUCACAAGCAGUGCCUCCUGCCCCGCAAUGCAGUCACUUCUCUCUACUUCCCAGCUGCUAGCGCACCUCUGCUUGCCUUCUCCCCUCAUAAGAAGUGUUAUCGGUAACAAUCUACGUAACAAAGAGCCAAAGCAUGGGGAACCCCAUUUUCAACUGGACCAACAUGGGAACUGACAUAUUCAACAGCAGUACUCCAGCUGGGAUGCACCCACGUGAUUUUUGUCUAAACUGCAAACCCUGCCAUCAGAGUUAAGGAAGGUGGAAGGAGAUCUCCC